rnacentral:tRNA from 1 species
AAUAGCUCAGUCGGUAGAGCGCCGGACUGUUAAUCCGUAGGUCGUUGGUUCGAGCCCAACUU